UAUUCUCAAAAUAUUUGGAAUGUUGGUGAUGUGUAUGAGCUGAAAACACUGAAAAGAGAGUAUUUUGUGAGAAUGGAGUUUAAAAAGUAUGAGGUGGAGAUUCCCAUUGCCCAGGCAAUUCUUGGUCCUUGGAUGUCCCUUGUGUGAGUUGGUAGCAUGUUGGAGAUAAGAAUGUAAAUGAUGGAGUAGGUAUUGGUGCAGUUGACACGCUGUGUAUGCAAGAGUAGGAGGAGACCUGAGUUGAGCAGAAAUGUGGAUGAUUUAAUAUAUUUGUUUGCGAGUUAAUCGUAGGUGCCCUGUGAAAAGAGGGAAGUGUGACUGAAGGUAGUAUAUCCAAGAGUAGAGUGAGUGAUGAUGUGUUGAUAAAGGCAAUGCAGGUACAGUGUGUAAAAGAGAGAUUGGAACUGAGAAUGAGUCCCAAGAGUUCUUAGAGGUAAAUGAACAUAGGUGUGGUUGGAGUGUAUAGAUGUAAGAAACAAUGACUAGCAAGUUGGUAAUAUUUGAGACCUGUUAUAGAAUAUGAUCGUGAGAGUUGCAUUAUUGAGAUUUUGGAGUUUUGUAUGAGCCAGGUGAUGAGAGUAAAACCCGUGACGGUUUUUAUUAGGAAGAGAGUAGAAGGUGUUCAAAGACCCUAAUG